UACGAAGGGGGCUAGCGUUGCUCGGAAUUACUGGGCGUAAAGCGCACGUAGGCGGCUCUUUAAGUCGGAGGUGAAAUCCUGGAGCUCAACUCCAGAACUGCCUUCGAUACUGUAGAGCUUGAGUUCGGGAGAGGUGAGUGGAACUGCGAGUGUAGAGGUGAAAUUCGUAGAUAUUCGGAAGAACACCAGUGGCGAAGGCGGCUCACUGGCCCGGUACUGACGCUGAUGUGCGAAAGCGUGGGGAGCAAACAGG
rnacentral:rRNA from 1 species